rnacentral:rRNA from 1 species
AUGGCAGUGGAGGAAGAGGGAAGGAAAGGGAUCCCAUCUCUCCUCUCCUCCGGGGAGGAGAACAUCGCCUCCAACAUCACCCAGCUCAUAGGCUGGACUCCACUAAUAGAAAUGAAGAACAUUGCUAAGAAAGACGGCGUCGAAGCGCGGUUGGUUGGAAAGAUGGAGGCGUACCAACCCCUUUGCUCAGUUAAGGACAGGAGCGCUCUCCGGAUGAUUGAAGAUGCAGAGGAGAAGGGCUUGAUUUCACCUGGUGUUACCACACUAAUCGAGCCAACAAGCGGCAAUCAAGGAAUUGGAAUGGUGUUCAUCGCUGUUCAGAAAGGCUACCGGUUUAUUGCUGUUAUGCCUGCAAAAUAUUCACUUGACAAACAGAUGCUACUGAGAUUUUUGGGUGCUGAACUGAUCUUAACAGAUCCUGCAAAUGGGUUUAAAGGAAUGAUUGGCAAGGUGGAGGAGCUGAUGAAGACUAUACCAAAUUCUUAUUGUCUUAAUCAAGUCACCAAUCCAGCAAACCCAGAUGCACACUUCAAAUGGACUGGACCGGAGAUAUGGAAGGACACCGCAGGCAAAGUUGAUAUGUUUGUGGCCGCGGUUGGCUCAGGAGGCACACUGACAGGCGUAGGAAAGUACCUGAAGAUGAAAAAUCCAUCCAUAAAACUAGUGUGCGUGGAACCUUCAGAAAGCGCUGUAAUUUCAGGAGGUUCACCGGGGUCACACAAGAUUCAGGGCACGGGGCCGGGGUUCAUACCGGAGGUUCUCGACACGUCGGUCAUCGACGAGGUCGUGACGGUGAGCACAGAGGAGGCCAUGACGAUGGCAAGGAGGCUAGCGAGGGAGGAGGGCCUGCUGGUCGGCAUAUCCUCCGGUGCAAACGUAGCUGCUUGCAUCAAGAUUGCGAUGAGAGAAGAGAACCAGGGCAAGAUGAUCGUUACCAUAUUCCCCAGCGCCGGCGAGAGAUACAUGAACUCUGAUCUGUUUGCAGUUGUUAGGGGGGAAUGCGAAAAUAUGACCUUUUGA